UUGCGUUAGCGGUAGUAGUGGAUAGCUUUUGGCGAGCUUGCGCUUUGAGCCAAAACUUGUAACGGAUGACGCGACCUAUA
rnacentral:sRNA from 1 species